rnacentral:rRNA from 1 species
GGACACGUGAAACCCUGUGGGAAGCAGGAGAGACCACCCUCCAAGGCUAAAUACUACCUAGUGACCGAUAGCGUAUAGUACCGUGAGGGAAAGGGGAAAAGAACCCCGGGAGGGGAGUGAAAUAGAACCUGAAACCCUGCACUUACAAGCUGUGGAAGCACAUUUCUUGUGUGACCGCGUACUUUUUGUAGAACGGGCCAACGAGUUACGUUAAGUAGCAAG